AUCCCCAACUUUCCCUCCUAAAAUCCCUAAUUUCCCCCCUUGAAACCCCCCAACUUUACAAACAUACGUCCUUUAAAAUUUUUAACUCCAACCCCAUUGCUAUCUUUUCUUCCUCAACCCCAAUUCAAACGCCCAAUUUUGGAAAUCUAUUUUUUCUUUCUCUGCAGAACUUUAAAAAAAACCGAUCUCGAUUCAUACACAUAUAACAAUCACAGUCACAGUCCCGCUGGACUUUUAGCAAAAUCCAAAAAUCUCUCUUCCUCCAUGAAGCAGCCAAGAGAAGUGCAAAAGCGGCUGUCUCAUAUAUUCUUCCAUCUAAGUUAUUUGGGAAGAAAGAAGAUGAAUCUGACUCAACUGUGGCAAAUGAAAACGGUAAAGUGCCGAAUGAAUAUGAGAGUGAAGGGUCUAUUGAGGAACCUACCUUUAUGGAGUCAGUUUCAGAUUCGAAUCCUGUUGAUGAAAAGCAACCAUUCUGAUAGGAGGAAGUAGCUCCGUUGUUUUGAAGGAUAAGUGUUGAACAAAUUAGUAGCAGAAGCAAAUGCAUGAAGCUUUAAGCAAACGGACUAUAUCAAUACACUGGUACUGAUAUCAAGAAAAUAACAGUCAUCAAAAUCAACCACAACCAAGAUGUCCAAGCAUUAGACAGAAACGAGAAUAAGAGCUGCGAAACUGGAAUUAUACGUAUAGCACUCCAAUCACUUUUCUUGCAACAUGAUUACUCGUAUAGCACUCCAAUCAUGUAUAAUGUCAUUUUAUUUUUAUUUUCAUUUUUUAUUAUCUUUGCAAAUAUUUUUUGUUUGAACGAAUAAUCUUCAGAAAAUGGAUUUUAACGCGAUGGAGGAAGAGGAAUUUGGAUUCUCAAUAAACUAUUUCUUAGCAAAAGAAAUGGGCAGUUCUGGGAAGAAAUCUGCUCGUAAACUCAGUGAUAUCAACGUCGUUGACGAACAGGAACUUAGAGAAGCUUCAGCUAAUAUUGAACCAAAGCAUCAAAAUGACAUUGCAGAUUUAAUAAAUAGUUACAAAAGUUUAUACCCAAAAUGGUUUUUUGAUCUCAGCUGAAAAAAGCCUUUACAUUAAUCACCCUUGAAGUUACUUUUCUACAGAUGUGGUUUUGGUCUUCUAAUGUAUGAAUCUGAAGUGCAUUUCUAUUCUUCUAUUUGCAGUUAAGAUUUGAAACUGAAGACAAAGCAAGCAGACUUUUGAGUAAUGUGUCAUUUUUGUUGAAAUCAGGGGGUUAUUUUUUCGGUAUUACUCCUGAAAAAGUGAUUGCCAAAAACUGUUGUUUCUGGAUUUGUGUAUUUUUCUUUUUUUUUUUGUUCUUGUGGUCUGCUGUACCUGUUUCUGAGAGGUGAUUGUGUAAACAUUUUAGUGUGAUUUAGUUAUUGUAAGAAUAUUUUUAACAUUGUUAAUUUUAAUAUUAUUGUAAGAAUAUUUUGAAUUAUAAUUCAGUUAUUAAUUUAUAUCA